rnacentral:ncRNA from 1 species
UUGAAUAUGGCAAAACUAUUGAAAAAUAGUGACGCAAAACUAUAGGGUCUAAAUCCAUUUCGGAUAUGAUUGCCAGUUAC